GAUGUCGGAAUAUGAAAAUGUUGUUGCUGAAAAGUUGAGGUUAAAAGGAAAACUGCUUGAUGUGAAAGCAAGUGGAAUUACGAAGAAAAAGAAACAGAGGAAGCAUUUUAAACAGUUUUCCACUGAAAUUAACAGCUCAGGAUUGAAGUGGAGAUUGAAGAAAGAGGAAAAUCAGUUCUAGUAACUAAUUUCACCAUCUCUCACAUUGCAGUAUACCACUAUACAAUCAUACCUACCUGAGUAGUGCCCUUUCGAUAUUAUCCUGACAUUGACAACAGAUGGAUAUGCUGCAAACCUGUAACUCGAUGUCAAACUUGUAUUCUUCCUAAGCAUGCAACAAAUUGGUGCUUCCGUUGAUUCAUUGAAAAUCCAUUUUCCAUUGUCUACCAAAUGGAUAUUGGUUCCUUGAUGGCCAUUGACCAGUAUGAUGAUGCUACCCACCCAUAUUCCGAUGUUUACCCAAGAAACCACUGCCUCCAAUUGGUUCAAUGAAACAACUUGCUAGGUUUGCUCGUUUCUCAAUUUUUAUCUCGUUACUUUGGGUUAAUUUAUCGAAUGUUUCACAAUUUAGUUUAGCUAUGAUUCUACGUAAACUGUUUCAUUUCGUUAAGUUUGCCUGUUUUUUGUGCCUUCAAGUGUGGAUAUGUGUGUGCGUGUGGGGUGGGGGGGAGGGGGGAGGAGGAGAGGGAGGAUGCCCUUAAAGAAUUCCAGGUAUGCUAGGAGAUAAUAUUUUUGUCAAUGGGGGCUAUGGCUAAUGGUAGCCUCACAACUUUCUACUUUCUAAUAUUCCACAAUAACUGGAACUGAGCUGUGGAAGUUCCUUUCUGAUGGAAAAUAUCAGUUUAGGUUAUUAACUUAAAUUUCCUGGGUUGAUCUUCUUAGAUGUUGCUCCUUUCUGGUUCGAUUAGUGACAAUGACGAUCUCCUACGACGAUUCAUGUUAGCCGACACCAAAUCAUUUUGGGACUAAGGCUUUGUUGUUGUUGUUGAUCUUCUUAGAUGUUAAACCAAUCACGUAGUUGGUUUUUUGCUUGAAGCUAAGCUGGAGUGCGUGCCAGUUCAUUCGUACCUGCAGAAAUUCCAUCUUUUUCAUUUAGUUGGUUAUGAAUUUGCAGUAUGAGAAAGUGUACAAUACUGAAAAGGUUAUUUCCCCCUUUGAAUAAAGGGAUAAAAGGAAUAUUUGCUUGAUAUUUGUGGCCUACUGUUGUGUCCUUUUGACUGGAUUAGGCAUUGUCAUUGCUAUGCUUUGCAUAAAUGGACUCAAGCUGGAAAGAAUUGGUUUUUGACAGAUAUUAUGAAGAUAAAUACUGAGAACAACGCGGAUGGUGGCAACCAAAUGGAAGCUAGAUAUGAUGAACGACUCACACUCGCUGAGAGACGAUACUUGGAGCAGUGGAAGCAACUUGAAAUAAGACGGUUACUCAAUAGAGCU